GACGAACGCUAGCGGCGCGCUUAACACAUGCAAGUCGAGCGGAAAGGCCCUUCGGGGUACUCGAGCGGCGAACGGGUGAGUAACACGUGAGCAACCUACCCUUGGCUUUGGGAUAACCCCGGGAAACCGGGGCUAAUACCGAAUAUCCACGCACUGCCGCAUGACGGUGCGUGAAAAGUUUUUCGGCUGGGGAUGGGCUCGCGGCCUAUCAGCUUGUUGGUGGGGUAACGGCCCACCAAGGCUUCGACGGGUAGCCGGCCUGAGAGGGCGACCGGCAACACUGGGACUGAGAUACGGCCCAGACUCCUACGGGAGGCAGCAGUGGGGAAUAUUGCACAAUGGGCGCAAGCCUGAUGCAGCGACGCCGCGUGAGGGAUGAAGGCCUUCGGGUUGUAAACCUCUUUCGACAGGGACGAAGCGAAAGUGACGGUACCUGGAGAAGAAGCGCCGGCCAACUACGUGCCAGCAGCCGCAGUAACAC
rnacentral:rRNA from 1 species